rnacentral:rRNA from 1 species
GAUGAACGCUGACAGAAUGCUUAACACAUGCAAGUCAACUUGAAUUUGGGUUUUUAACUUAGGUUUGGGUGGCGGACGGGUGAGUAACGCGUAAAGAACUUGCCUCACAGUUAGGGACAACAUUUGGAAACGAAUGCUAAUACCUGAUAUUAUGAUAAUAGGGCAUCCCAUAAUUAUGAAAGCUAUAAGCGCUGUGAGAGAGCUUUGCGUCCCAUUAGCUAGUUGGAGAGGUAACGGCUCACCAAGGCGAUGAUGGGUAGCCGGCCUGAGAGGGUGAUCGGCCACAAGGGGACUGAGACACGGCCCUUACUCCUACGGGAGGCAGCAGUGGGGAAUAUUGGACAAUGGACCAAGAGUCUGAUCCAGCAAUUCUGUGUGCACGAUGAAGUUUUUCGGAAUGUAAAGUGCUUUCAGUUGGGAAGAAAGAAAUGACGGUACCGACAGAAGAAGUGACGGCUAAAUACGUGCCAGCAGCCGCGGUAAUACGUAUGUCACGAGCGUUAUCCGGAUUUAUUGGGCGUAAAGCGCGUCUAGGUGGUUAUAUAAGUCUGAUGUGAAAAUGCAGGGCUCAACUCUGUAUUGCGUUGGAAACUGUAUAACUAGAGUACUGGAGAGGUAAGCGGAACUACAAGUGUAGAGGUGAAAUUCGUAGAUAUUUGUAGGAAUGCCGAUGGGGAAGCCAGCUUACUGGACAGAUACUGACGCUGAAGCGCGAAAGCGUGGGUAGCAAACAGG